GGAGAGGUGGCCGAGUGGUUGAAGGCGGCGGCCUUGAAAGCCGUUGUACGGGCAACCGUACCGUGGGUUCGAAUCCCACCCUCUCCGCCA
rnacentral:tRNA from 4 species